AUAGCGUAUAUUAAAGUUGUUGCAGUUAAAACGCUCGUAGUCGAACUUUAGACAAGGUCAACCGGUCUACCGUAUGGUAGGACUGGAUGUUCCGCGUCUCUCCUUUGGGGAACAGGCACUUAACCGUGCCCGGGAACCAAGUAUUACUGUGAAGAAAUUAGAGUGUUUAAAGCAGGCGUUUGCUUGAAUACGUUAGCAUGGAAUAAUAAGAUAGGACUUUGGUUCUAUUUUGUUGGUUUGAGGACCAAGGUAAUGAUUAAUAGGGACAGUUGGGGGCAUUAGUAUUCAGUAGUCAGAGGUGAAAUUCUUGGAUUUACUGAAGACUAACUAAUG
rnacentral:rRNA from 1 species